ACGCUGGCGGCAUGCUUUACACAUGCAAGUCGGACGGCAGCACAGAGAAGCUUGCUUCUUGGGUGGCGAGUGGCGAACGGGUGAGUAAUAUAUCGGAACGUACCGAGUAAUGGGGGAUAACUAAUCGAAAGAUUAGCUAAUACCGCAUAUUCUCUGAGGAGGAAAGCAGGGGACCUUCGGGCCUUGCGUUAUUCGAGCGGCCGAUAUCUGAUUAGCUAGUUGGUGGGGUAAAGGCCUACCAAGGCGACGAUCAGUAGCGGGUCUGAGAGGAUGAUCCGCCACACUGGGACUGAGACACGGCCCAGACUCCUACGGGAGGCAGCAGUGGGGAAUUUUGGACAAUGGGCGCAAGCCUGAUCCAGCCAUGCCGCGUGUCUGAAGAAGGCCUUCGGGUUGUAAAGGACUUUUGUCAGGGAAGAAAAGGCUGUUGCUAAUACCGACAGCUGAUGACGGUACCUGAAGAAUAAGCACCGGCUAACUACGUGCCAGCAGCCGCGGUAAUACGUAGGGUGCGAGCGUUAAUCGGAAUUACUGGGCGUAAAGCGAGCGCAGACGGUUACUUAAGCAGGAUGUGAAAUCCCCGGGCUCAACCUGGGAACUGCGUUCUGAACUGGGUGACUAGAGUGUGUCAGAGGAAGGUAGAAUUCCACGUGUAGCAGUGAAAUGCGUAGAGAUGUGGAGGAAUACCGAUGGCGAAGGCAGCCUCCUGGGAUAACACUGACGUUCAUGCUCGAAAGCGUGGGUAGCAAACAGGAUUAGAUACCCUGGUAGUCCACGCCCUAAACGAUGUCAAUUAGCUGUUGGGCAACUUGAUUGCUUAGUAGCGUAGCUAACGCGUGAAAUUGACCGCCUGGGGAGUACGGUCGCAAGAUUAAAACUCAAAGGAAUUGACGGGGACCCGCACAAGCGGUGGAUGAUGU
rnacentral:rRNA from 1 species